rnacentral:rRNA from 1 species
AGGGUUCGAUUCUGGCUCAGGAUGAACGCUAGCUACAGGCUUAACACAUGCAAGUCGUGGGGCAGCGCGGAGUGUAGCAAUACAUUCUGGCGGCGACCGGCGGAUGGGUGAGUAACGCGUAUCCAACCUGGCCCUAUCUCGGGUACAGCCCCUCGAAAGAGGGAUUAAUCCCCGAUGUUCCCUGGGAUCCGCAUGUUUUCCAGGGCAAAGGCAUUUGUCGGAUAGGGGAUGGGGAUGCGUUCCAUUAGGCAGUCGGCGGGGUAACGGCCCACCGAGCCUACGAUGGAUAGGGUUCUGAGAGGAAGGCCCCCCACACUGGGACUGAGACACGGCCCAGACUCCUACGGGAGGCAGCAGUGAGGAAUAUUGGUCAAUGGCGGUAACGCUGAACCAGCCAAGUAGCGUGAGGGAUUACGGCCCUAUGGGUUUUAAACCUCUUUUGUUAGGGAGCAACCGGUGGCACUUGUGCCAUUCUGCGAGUACCUUUCGAAUAAGCAUCGGCUAACUCCGUGCCAGCCGCAGC